AGUGUUGCGGGGGAGCAUUAGGUAUUCAGCUACAGGUGGAGUUCCCUGUACAGUGUUUCGUAAUGCGUGUGUGUUGCAAAUUGGCCUGAGGGAGAGGUACUCGGGCUGGCGACCACUGUUGCAAGGGACUGUUGCAGGGGACUGUUGCAAGGGACUGUUGCAGGGACCGUAAGGGGAGAUUUAGCAGCUAAUUUGAUUCAAGUGCUCCACCAUGGGUAACGUUAACAAGUCCAUGAUGGAAGCCACUCGUAAAAACCAAGAAUUUAUGCUGGAGACUCAGAGAGUUCAACUUGAGAGACAGAUCCACAUGCAGAAUGAAAUGCGUCAGAAAAUGAUGUCAAUGCAGAUAGCACGAUCAAGAGAGCUUUUGUAUUGGUUUGGAGCAUUUUAUGCUGUUGCUGCUAUAGGAAUGAUAACUGGAUUUCGGCGCACUCGGAAGCCUGGCACACUGGUCCCCCUGCUUCCACUCACCUUCGUUUUGGCAUAUCAGGCAGACUUAGCAUAUGGUUCCAAGCUCAACAGAAUUAAAAUGGAAGCCGAGAACAUCUUAAUCUUUGAGCAUGAACUAGUGUCCCUUCCCAUGGGAGUUCCAACCCCUGCUACGAUUGACGAGGCUCGAGAGCGGCAGGAGGAGACCAAGCGACUUAAUAAGGUUCAUGAAGCUCUGCAUCAACAUCGUAGUGGGUAUUACUAAGCAUACCUUCCCACACCGCUACUCUUCUCACUUCCUCUUGUUCACUCGCCAAAUCCCAAGAGACCUGGAAUUAUUGGAAAUAUCUGCUGCCUGUAUUGGACUUAAGGUGGCUUGUUUACAUCCUGUUCAGAAGUUGAAUUUAGAUAUAUCCCUACAGCUUGGAAGCACUUAAUUGGCUUGCAGGAAUAACAUGUUAUCAGAACCAAGGUUCCGGCUUUAGAUGAACACCAGUUUACCUUUGCGUCUCACUUAAUAAGCGGCCUAUAUUUGUUUUAUUGGUCGAGUUACAGUAGUAAAUGUUUUCAGCAGAAGAUAUAUUUAAUUUAUAUAUGCCGUUGUAAAUCCAUUGACGUUUUAAUUAGAUCAGAUUUCUCAAAUAUUACUGUCUGUAGUAAUACCAGUAAGUCAUAAUACAAAUGUGACAAGUUCAUUUCAGGACUAAUAGCAAUUUUUUUUACCUUUUGAAAAUUCUGGUAUAAUGCUGCUGGUAUAUGGAUUUAAAUUUUGGUAUGUAAAUCAGUACUAAUUUGAAUGAAUGUAUUGUCUGAUGUAUAUAUAGUACUAAUAAUAAUUGAUCUUUUGUUGUGGAAUGCUUCAUAUACUGUAUCUAAAUUUCUGGUGUGAUGUACGUCUUGUGUCUUUUGGUGGAAAUUAAUUAUGCAUACAGUAUGUGAACAAAUAAAAUACAUCUUUAGAUAUCUAAUCUUAUACUCGUAGUGUUAGAAAAAUGAUUGUGAUAUAGUUUUUGUUACUUAGUGUCUAGCAUUUGUAAUUCCUGUUUCAGAGAUAUGGCAUCUCUUCUUUCUUAGCAAUCAUCUUUAUACUGUGGAAAGGUGUGAGCUGGUUCUUGGGCAUCAUUCACUUGAACAGAACCUAUUUUGGUUAGAUAACUUCUUCCGCUGGAUCAUUAUUCGAAAAGUAGCUCCUUAAAACAUAUUUUCAUUCUUUUUGUUAUUAAAUACUGUAGUUCAUCAUUGCUUAGGUCUUAGGAAACAAAAUAAAACCUGACUUGAGGGAGAAUUUUCAGCCUGUUUCAUAGGAAGCGAUGAUUAGGUAGAGCAUGUAUACUGUAUACAGUAUAUAUAUUGCAUGUUGGGUUUAAAAUAGAAUGUUACUAAAAUUGGUGGCUUUAAACUGAAAAUUUCCUAUGUUUAUAAUAUAAUGGCAGUUAGAAAUUGGGAAGCACAGCAUGGAACAUAUUUAUAUCUUUAGCUUUUUCACUUUAUCAUAAUGUACUGUGAUCAUGAAAUCUUAAGGUCGACAUGGCUGAUUUCGGCCUGUACACAAGAUUGUCAGUGUUUAAUAUCACAGAGUGUCGUAGGGUUCUGUACAAAGUACUCUUGUAUAACCUUUUGUAUAUAUAUACAUAUAGAUAUUAUUUCCACUAAAAUAUUCUGUAUGUUGUGAUACUAUUUAAGAUAAAUAUACAUGCCAGUGAACUAA
rnacentral:misc_RNA from 1 species